rnacentral:rRNA from 1 species
AACGAACGCUGGCGGCAUGCCUAACACAUGCCAGUCGAACGAGACCUUCGGGUCUAGUGGCGCACGGGUGCGUAACGCGUGGGAACCUGCCCUUAGGUUCGGAAUAACUCCCCGAAAGGGGUGCUAAUACCGGAUAAUGUCUUCGGACCAAAGAUUUAUCGCCUUUGGAUGGGCCCGCGUUGGAUUAGCUAGUUGGUAGGGUAAAAGCCUACCAAGGCGACGAUCCAUAGCUGGUCUGAGAGGAUGAUCAGCCACACUGGGACUGAGACACGGCCCAGACUCCAACGGGGGGCAGCGGUGGGAAAUUUUGGACAGUGGGGAAAAGCCGGAUCAGACAAGCCCCGGGGUGUAAAGAAGGCUUUAGGGUUAUAAAGCCUUUUGCCCGGGGAGGUUAAUACAGGUACCGGGGAAAAAGCCCCCGCUAACCUCCGU